AUUGAACGCUGGCGGCAGGCCUAACACAUGCAAGUCGAACGAGUGGCGGACGGGUGCGUAAUGUCUGGGAAACUGCCCGAUGGAGGGGGAUAACUACUGGAAACGGUAGAUAAUACCGCAUACAAUCGGAUGUGCCCAGAUGGGUUUAGCUAGUCGGUGGGGUAACGGCUCACCUAGGUGACGAUCCCUAGCUGGUCUGAGAGGAUGACCAGCAACUCUGGAACUGGGACACGGUCCAGAGUCCAACGGGAGGCAGCAGUGGGGAAUAUUGCACAAUGGGCGCAAGCCUGAUGCGGCCAUGCCGCGUGUAUGAGGAAGGCCUUCGGGUUUUAAAGUACUUUCAGCGAGGAUGCGUUACUCACAGAGGAAGCACCGGCUAACUCCGUGCCAGCAGCCGCGGUAAUUC
rnacentral:rRNA from 1 species